rnacentral:rRNA from 1 species
UACGUAGGGUGCAAGCGUUGUCCGGAAUUAUUGGGCGUAAAGAGCUCGUAGGCGGUCUGUCGCGUCUGCUGUGAAAACUCGGGGCUUAACCCCGGGCCUGCAGUGGGUACGGGCAGACUAGAGUGCGGUAGGGGAGACUGGAAUUCCUGGUGUAGCGGUGAAAUGCGCAGAUAUCAGGAGGAACACCGAUGGCGAAGGCAGCACUCUGGUACAUGACUGACGCUGAGAAGCGAAAGCAUGGGGAGCGAACAGG